GAGGCGGCGAGUGUCUGGGCGAGCGUGGCUGGGCCCGGUCCUGGGCUGGGGGCAGGGGCUAGGGCCGGGUCCCGGGGUGAGCCGAAACCUGGGGGUCGGGCGGGGCGGGAAAUGGGGCGCAGUGAGGCUGGGAGCCGGCCCUGAGCUCGUCCUGCGUAGGGGUAGCCGGGCUCAGGGGGCGCCUGAGCUGGAGGUGGAAGCGUGAAGUCAGGACUGAGUGGGCGAAGAGAACCUGGGCUGAGACAUGGCCGCUUACCAACAAGAAGGGCAGAUGCAGCUUCCCCGAGCUGAUGCCAUUCGUUCACGUCUCAUCGAUACUUUCUCUCUCAUCGAGCAUUUGCAAGGCUUGAGCCAAGCUGUGCUGCGACACACUAUCAGGAGUUACUUGAUCCUUCCCGCCAGAAGAAACUUAUGUUGGGAGAUCAACACCAGCUAGUGGGCGUCUCUAUAAAGCCUCAACGUAUAGAACAGAUUUCACAUGCCCAGAGGCUGUUGAGCAGGCUUCAUGUGCGCUGCAGUCAGAGGCCACCUCUUUCUUUGUGGGCCGGAUGGGUCCUUGAGUGUCCUCUCUUCAAAAACUUCAUCAUCUUCCUGAUCUUUUUGAAUACGAUCGUACUGAUGGUUGAAAUACGUGAGAACUGACAUUGUAUGAAAGAGGAAGUGAGGCCAGGCGCGGCGGCUCACACGUGUAAUCCUAGCACUGUGGGAGGCCGAGGCAGGCGGAUUGCCAAAGCUCAGGAGUUCAAGACCAGCCUGGGCAACAUGGUGAAACCCUGUUUCUACUAAAAAAUACAAAAAAUUA
ensembl:lncRNA CATSPER2P1 CATSPER2 pseudogene 1